rnacentral:tRNA from 1 species
GCCGAGGUGGCGGAAUUGGCAGACGCGCAAGGUUCAGGUCCUUGUCCGGGUUUCCUGGGUGAAGGUUCGAGUCCUUUCCUCGGCACCA